UCAAGCUACAAAGAGCGCAAGGGGAAUGCCUUGGCACCAGGAGCCGAAGAAGGACGCAGCAAUCUGCGAAAAGCCGCGGGGAGUCGAAAGCAGACAUUGAUCCACGGAUAUCCGAAUGGGGAAACCCGGCUGGGAGAAGCCCAGUCAACGUGCACUGAAUUCAUAGGUGUACGUGGGGAACCGCCUGAACUGAAACAUCUAAGUAGGGCGAGGAAAAGAAAUCAACCGAGAUUCCGCAAGUAGUGGCGAGCGAACGCGGAGGAGGCUAAACCGUGAGUAGCAAUAUUCGCGGGGUUUGGACAGCAUAAGGUACAACGGAUCUUAGCAGAAGUGCAUGGGACGGCACACCGUAGAGAGUGAUAGUCUCGUAUGCGAAAAGAGAAGUUGGCUGGCUGUAUCCAGAGUACCAGCGGACACGUGAAACCCGCUGGGAAUGUGGGGGGACCAUCCUCUAAGCCUAAAUACUCCCUGGUGACCGAUAGUGUAGAGUACUGUGAAGGAAAGGUGAAAAGAACCCCGGGAGGGGAGUGAAAAGAACCUGAAACCUUGUGCUUACAAGCACCGAGAGCCCGUCAAUGGGUGAUCGGGUACCUUUUGUAGAAUGGUCCGGCGAGUGAAUGUAACAAGCGAGGUUAAGUGCUUCAGGCACGGAGCCGCAGCGAAAGCGAGUCUGAAUAGGGCGAUUUAGUUUGUUGUAUUCGACCCGAAACCGGGUGACCUAGCCAUGUCCAGGCUGAAGUGAAGGUAAAACUUCAUGGAGGGCCGAACCCACUCCCGUUGAAAUGGUAGGGGAUGAGGUGUGGCUAGCGGAGAAAUUCCAAUCGAACCCGGAGAUAGCUGGUUCUCUCCGAAAUAGCUUUAGGGCUAGCCUCGACAUAACAUUACCGGAGGUAAAGCACUGAAUGGGCUAGGGGCCGAAAGGUUACUGAACCCUAUCAAACUAAGAAUGCCGGAUAAUGAUUGUCGGGAGUCAGACUGCGUGAGAUAAGUUUCGUGGUCAAAAGGGAAACAGCCCAGACCCACAGCUAAGGUCCCAAAACACGGUUAAGUGGAAAAGGAUGUGGGGUUGCACAGACAACCAGGAUGUUGGCUCAGAAGCAGCCAUUCAUUAAAAGAGUGCGUAAUAGCUCACUGGUCGAGUGGCCCUGCGCCGAAGAUUUAACGGGGCUAAAUCGUGUACCGAAGCUUGGGAUGCAUUUAUGCAUGGUAGGAGAGCGUUGUGUGAGGGGCGAAGUCAGAGCGGAAGCGCUGGUGGACUUCACACAAGUGAGAAUGCCGGAAUGAGUAGCGAGAUUUAUGUGAGAAUCAUAAAGGCCGAAAGACUAAGGAUUUAGAAGGAAGGUUCGUCCGCUUCUAGUUAGCCGGGAGCUAAGGCGAGGCCGAGAGGCGUAGUCGAUGCACAUACGGUUGAGAUUCCGUAGCCGCCUUAAGUUUAAGCAUGGGGACGCUCUUGAAGGGAAUGACCCGGGGGUUGGUAGACCCGGGCGUAAGGGACCGAAAAUAUAGUAGGGAAGCAUUUUUGGAUGGAGACGAGAAAAGCCAUGUGUAUACGAAGAGGCGCCCGUACCGCAAACCGACACAGGUAGAUCAGGAGAGAAUUCUAAGGCCAACGGGAGAAGGGUAGUUAAGGAACUCGGCAAAUUGACCCCGUAACUUCGGAAUAAGGGGUGCCUUCGAAAGAAGGCCGCAGUGAAUAGGCCCAGGCGACUGUUUAUCAAAAACACAGCUCUCUGCUAAAUCGAAAGAUGAUGUAUAGGGGGUGACACCUGCCCGGUGCUGGAAGGUUAAGAGGAAGGGUGCAAGCUCUGAAUUGAAGCCCCAGUAAACGGCGGCCGUAACUAUAACGGUCCUAAGGUAGCGAAAUUCCUUGUCGGGUAAGUUCCGACCCGCACGAAUGGUGUAACGAUCUGGGCACUGUCUCAACUACCCACCCGGCGAAAUUGUAGUACCGGUGAAGAUGCCGGUUACCCGCGGCAAGACGGAAAGACCCCAUGGAGCUUUACUGUAGCCUGAUAUUGGGUUUCGAUAUUUUAUGUACAGAAUAGGCGGGAGACUAUGAAGCAUUGGCGCCAGCUGGUGUGGAGUCACCUUUGGGAUACCGCCCUUAAGAUAUUGGAAUUCUAACCUGCGGCCGUGAAUCCGGUCGGGGGACAUUGUCAGGUGGGCAGUUUGACUGGGGCGGUCGCCUCCAAAAGAGUAACGGAGGCGCUCAAAGGUUCGCUCAGCACGGACGGAAACCGUGCCCCUGAGUGUAAACGCAAAAGCGAGCCUGACUGCGAGACUGACGGGUCGAGCAGGAACGAAAGUUGGAGUUAGUGAUCCGGCGGUAUGUGAAUGGAAAUGCCGUCGCUCAACGGAUAAAAGCUACCCUGGGGAUAACAGGCUGAUCUCCCCCAAGAGUCCACAUCGACGGGGAGGUUUGGCACCUCGAUGUCGGCUCAUCACAUCCUGGGGCUGAAUUCGGUCCCAAGGGUUCGGCUGUUCGCCGAUUAAAGUGGUACGCGAGCUGGGUUCAGAACGUCGUGAGACAGUUCGGUCCCUAUCUGUCGUGGGCGUAGGAUAUUUGAGGAGCGCUGUCCCUAGUACGAGAGGACCGGGAUGGACGCACCGCUGGUGCACCGGUUGUCAUGCCAAUGGCACGGCCGGGCAGCUAUGUGCGGAACGGAUAAACGCUGAAAGCAUCUAAGCGUGAAGCCGA
rnacentral:rRNA from 1 species